rnacentral:rRNA from 1 species
CGCGUAGGUGGCUACUCAAGCGCGCGGUGAAAGCCCGGGGCUCAACCCCGGGUCGGCCGUGCGGACUGGGAGGCUCGAGCACUGUAGGGGCGGGUGGAAUUCCGGGUGUAGCGGUGGAAUGCGUAGAGAUCCGGAAGAACACCGGUGGCGAAGGCGGCCCGCUGGGCAGGAAGGGGUGGGUAACCACCCCGGCUGACACUGAGGCGCGACAGCGUGGGGAGCAAACAGGAUUAGAUACCCUGGUAGUCCACGCCGUAAACGAUGGGCACUAGGUGCUUGGGGGAGCGACCCCCCGGGUGCCGGCGCUAACGCAUUAAGUGCCCCGCCUGGGGAGUACGGCCGCAAGGCUGAA